AAACCUUUACCAGCUACAUUGAAGAUGUAGUUGAUAUUUGCCGGCGUAUCAACCCAGAUAUGACCGAGGAUGACAAGAUCAAGAACAUCUUGAAAGGCUCGUGGCAAGGAG
rnacentral:lncRNA from 1 species